GGCGGACGGGUGAGUAAUAUAUAGGUAAUGUGCCCUAGAGAAGAGGAUAACAGUUGGAAACGACUGCUAAUACUCUAUAUGCCUUUAAGACAAAAGUCUGCAAGGGAAAUAUUUAUAGCUCUAGGAUCGGCCUGUACGGUAUCAGCUAGUUGGUGAGGUAAUGGCUCACCAAGGCAAUGACGCCUAACUGGUUUGAGAGGAUGAUCAGUCACACUGGAACUGAGACACGGUCCAGACUCCUACGGGAGGCAGCAGUGGGGAAUAUUGCACAAUGGAGGAAACUCUGAUGCAGCAACGCCGCGUGGAGGAUGACACAUUUCGGUGCGUAAACUCCUUUUAUAUAGGAAGAUAAUGACGGUACUAUAUGAAUAAGCGCCGGCUAACUCCGUGCCAGCAGCCGCGGUAAUACGGAGGGCGCAAGCGUUACUCGGAAUCACUGGGCGUAAAGAGCGUGUAGGCGGAUAGAUAAGUCAGAAGUGAAAUCCUAUGGCUCAACCAUAGAACUGCUUUUGAAACUGUUUAUCUAGAGUGUGGGAGAGGUAGAUGGAAUUUCUGGUGUAGGGGUAAAAUCCGUAGAGAUCAGAAGGAAUACCGAUUGCGAAGGCGAUCUACUGGAACAUAACUGACGCUGAGACGCGAAAGCGUGGGGAGCAAACAGGAUUAGAUACCCUGGUAGUCCACGCCCUAAACGAUGUACACUAGUUGUUGUGAGGCUUGACCUUGCAGUAAUGCAGUUAACACAUUAAGUGUACC
rnacentral:rRNA from 1 species